UCCGUCUGACGGACACAGGUUUGACAUACGCCAAAGCCCCGCCGUCUGCUUCGUCGCACUGACCCUGCCAAUGCAACAAACAGCCAGACCCUCUCCGCACGUCCAGCCCUUCCCGGGCACCGCGCGUCCAAGGGGAGCGCUCAGGUGCAUCUUGCACUUCGAAUUCGAUUUUGCCAUCUGCUGAACUAGUAUAAUUGAUAUCAGUGCAGCAAAGGAGGAAAUUUUAAGAGAGUGACCAAGCUGUGUUAAAUGCCAGAGAGAGACUAAGGAGGAGGGAGACAGAAAAGUUUCAUCAGAUCUGUCAUUAUGGAGUUCUCUCAGAGAGGAUUGAUAUCUCCUCUAAGCCUGGGACAGGCUGGUUCAUAACAAGAUCCAACUCGGAGCAUCACUGACACAAACAGCAAGUUUACAGGAAGAAUCGGUUCCAGGGCACUCUGACUGUUUCAUGCAUGUGAUGUAGUCAUCAGAAUUGCAAGACAAGGAAGAGAUGGGAACUCUUAUGCGCUAUUGAGUGGAGAUUAAAUUGGUACAAUUACAUUGGAAGGCAAUUUGGCAAAAUCUAUGAAAACAAAAGAUGCCCUUACCUUACAAUCUAACAAUUUCACUUUGCUAUAUAUAUCCAAGAAACUCUCCCUUAAAUACAUAAGGACACAUGUAAAUGAUUAUUCAGUGAAGCAUCCUGUAUAACAGGAAAAUAAUUGGAAACAACCUAAAUAUUCAUCAGCCUGAGAGUGGUUAAGUAAAUUGUUGUAUGAUCACACAGAGGAAUACUAUAUGGUAGUUAAAAUACAUGAACUAGAACUGGAGCUAUAAUGUGCAUCAAUCUCAAAAAAUAGACUAUCUAGUGAACACAAGAAAGUAGAGGAGAUACAUAAAGCAUGCUAUCAUUUAUAUUAACUUUAGACCCAUGAAACAAUAGUACAUCUUCCUAUGUGUGAUAAACAUUUUAAAAUAUUCACAGUAAUAAUAACUCCCAAAUUCAGGAUAGUUGUUACCUCUGCUGAAGAAGGAUAAUGACAAGAGUUUGCAGAGGACUUUAGCCAAAUAUGGCAAAUAUGGCAAAAAGUAAAUAUUUGACAAAAUUUGGUUGGAAAGGCGAGUUCAUAUUAUUAUUUUCUAUACCCUAUAUACUUGAAAUAUUUCAUUUAAAAGUAUAUAGGGGUCUUCAACCCUGGAAUUCUGGGAUUUUUUUUUCUUUGUGCAGAAAUUUCUUUUUUUUUCUUUUUCUCAUGUUGAAAUUCCAUCCAUUUUUUUGAUAUUUAAUUCAAGUCUCACUACCUUAUUGAGAACUUCUGUGACAAUCUUGUCAGUCUAUACUAUGCUUUA